rnacentral:rRNA from 1 species
GUCUACGGCCAUACUACCCUGAACGCGCCCCAUCUCAUCUGAUCUCAGAAGCUAAGCAGGGUCGGGCCUGGUUAGUACUUGGAUGGGAGAUAUACAGUUGUUGUAAAGA